rnacentral:ncRNA from 2 species
CGCUCGACUGCGGGAGAGAUCGGGCUUUGCCCGGCGCCGAAGGAGCAACCGCCCCGGAAACUCUCAGGCAAAAGGACCGCGUCAGGCUG